UGAGGAGACUGAGGCCCAGAGGCCCAAGCCCUUAACCUCGGUCUGCACAGCUAGGAAGGCAGCCCAGUGAUUUUAUCCUUCCCACCGGUGCUUGUAGUAGGUAAUACAAGAGGGCAAGGUCACUUAUAAGGAAUUAGGAGUGGGAACGGCUUUGGACUUGACGAAGGCUACACUGACAAGAAGGGGAUGAGCCAGUACUAUGCAGUUGGCCCCUGCCCAGCUUCUUCUGUAGGAAAAUGAUUUCCAGACUAGAAUUCUACCCAGUGCUAUAGACUGAAUAUCUGCAGCCCCACCCCCAGGAGCCCCCGCUCUGUCGUGGGCGGACCCAACCGUGCCCGGGGCUGAGGGCAAGCAAGGGCAGAAGGCGGCAGAUGCUGGAGCCCAGCGCCGGUCUGAACCCCAACUCCACCCCUGCCGGCUGUGUGACCCUGGGCGAGGCACCUGCCCUCUCGGUGCUUUGGGUUUCCUGUUCCGUGAACGAGAGAAAGCCUGGGGACGAGGCACGCGACUCUCUGUUGGCUGCCUACAACGGAGCCUGUUACCGGGGGAGCUCUCUAGCUUUGUGGAGCAGACAUUAGAAAAAACAGGGUGCUAGGCCAGGCUCAGCUGGAGGGAGAAGGAGCCAGGGGUGGGGGGCCCAGGGGAGGCUUCCCGGAGGACACCCCAGGCCAAGGCCACUGGGGAAAGGAGCAGGCAGGGGCGAGGGCCCAGUGGGGGGAAAGGAGACCAGGGGACCCUCUUGA